GGCCAGUUAGCUCAGUUGGUUAGAGCGUGGUGCUUAGAACAUCAAGGUUGCCGGUUCAAUCCCUGCAUGGGCCA